GAUUAACGCUAGCGGCAGGCAUAAUACAUGCAAGUUGAACGGGAUAAGUUUAGCAAUAAACUUUGAGAGUGGCGCACGGGUGCGUAACACGUAUGCAACCUACCCGAUACAGGGGGAUAGCCUCUCGAAAGAGAGAUUAAUACCCCAUAACAUAGAGUAUAGGCAUCUAUAUUUUAUCAAAGUUCCGACGGUAUCGGAUGGGCAUGCGGUUGAUUAGCUAGUUGGUGAGGUAACGGCUCACCAAGGCGACGAUCAAUAGGGGGUCUGAGAGGAUGUCCCCCCACACUGGUACUGAGACACGGACCAGACUCCUACGGGAGGCAGCAGUAGGGAAUAUUGGUCAAUGGGGGCAACCCUGAACCAGCCAUGCCGCGUGCAGGAAGACUGCCCUAUGGGUUGUAAACUGCUUUUGUACGGGAAGAAAUGUCACUAUGCGUAGUGAUUUGACGGUACCGUAAGGAUAAGGAUCGGCUAACUUCGUGCCAGCAGCCGCAGUAAUAC
rnacentral:rRNA from 1 species